CCUACGGGUGGCAGCAGUGGGGAAUAUUGCACAAUGGGGGAAACCCUGAUGCAGCGACGCCGCGUGAGUGAAGAAGUAUUUCGGUACGUAAAGCUCUAUCAGCAGGGAAGAAAAUGACGGUACGUAACCGAGAAGCCCCGGCUAACUACGUGCCAGCAGCCGCGGUAAUACGUAGGGGGCAAGCGUUAUCCGGAUUUACUGGGUGUAAAGGGAGCGUAGACGGCUGCGCAAGUCUGGAGUGAAAGGCCGGGGCUCAACCCCGGAACUGCAUUGGAAACUGGGCAGCUGGAGUGCAGGAGAGGUGAGCGGAAUUCCAAGUGUAGCGGUGAAAUGCGUAGAUAUUAGGAGGAACACCAGUGGCGAAGGCGGCUUACUGGACUGUAACUGACGUUGAGGUUCGAAAGCGUGGGGAGCAAACAGGAUUAGAUACCCUUGUAGUC
rnacentral:rRNA from 1 species